CGGUGUAGCAAUACACAGUGGCGAACGGCGGAGUAAUACAUAAGGAACGUGCCCUGAAGACCGGGAUAGUCAUUGGAAACGAUGGGUAAUACCGGAUGUGGCCACUCUUCGGCAUCGGAGAGUGAUUAAAUGGUUUUUCGCUUCAGGAGCGUCUUAUGGCCUAUCAGGUAGUUGGUGGGGUAAUGGCCUACCAAGCCGACGACGGGUAGCGGGUCUGAGAGGAUGAUCCGCUCGAGUGGGACUGAGACACGGCCCACACACCUACGGGUGGCAGCAGUUGGGAAUCUUGCACAAUGGGGGAAACCCUGAUGCAGCGACGCCGCGUGGAGGAUGACGGGUCUAGGCCUGUAAACUCCUUUUAACGGGAAAGACUUAGGACGGUACCCGUUGAAUAAGGACCGGCUAACUACGUGCCAGCAGCCGCGGUAAGACGUAGGGUCCAA
rnacentral:rRNA from 1 species